CGGGACGGGUGAGUAACGCGUGGGUAACCUGCCUUAUACAGGGGGAUAACAGUUAGAAAUGACUGCUAAUACCGCAUAAGCGCACGGUCUCGCAUGAGAUAGUGUGAAAAACUCCGGUGGUAUAAGAUGGACCCGCGUCUGAUUAGCUAGUUGGUGGGGUAACGGCCUACCAAGGCAACGAUGGGUAGCCGAUCUGAGAGGAUGAUCGGCCACACUGGAACUGAAACACGGUCCAG
rnacentral:rRNA from 1 species